rnacentral:rRNA from 1 species
GACGAACGCUGGCGGCGUGCCUAAUACAUGCAAGUAGAACGCUGAAGGAGGAGCUUGCUUCUCUGGAUGAGUCGCGAACGGGUGAGUAACGCGUAGGUAACCUGCCUGGUAGCGGGGGACAACUAUUGGAAACGAUAGCUAAUACCGCAUAAGAGUAGAUGUCGCAUGACAUUUGUCUAAAAGGUGCAAUUGCAUCACUACCAGAUCGACCUGCGUUGUAUUAGCUAGUUGGUGAGGUAACGGCGCACCAAGGGAACGAGACAUAGCCGACCUGAGAGGGUGAACGGCCACACUGGGACUGGGACACGGGCCAGGACCCUACGGGAGGGAGCAGUAGGGGAACUUCGGCAAUGGAGGGAAGGCUGAACGAGGAACUCCGCGGGAGGGGAGAAGGGUCUCGGGUCGUAAAGGUCUGUUGUAAUAGAAGAAAGAGUAGGAGAGUGGAAAGUUCACACUGUGACGGUAUCUUAACAGAAAGGAACGGCUAACUACGUG